ACACGACCGUACCGCAAACCGACACUGGUGCGCGAGAUGAGUAUUCUAAGGCGCUUGAGAGAACUCAGGAGAAGGAACUCGGCAAAUUGACACCGUAACUUCGGAAGAAGGUGUGCCUUUAGUAGGUGAACCAUUUACUUGGGGAGCCCAAUGAGGCUGCAAAAAAUCGGUGGCUGCAACUGUUUAUUAAAAACACAGCACUCUGCUAAGACGAAAGUCGACGUAUAGGGUGUGACGCCUGCCCGGUGCUGGAAGAUUAAAUGAUGGGGUGCAAGCUCUUGAUUGAAGUCCCAGUAAACGGCGGCCGUAACGAUAACGGUCCUAAGGUAGCGAAAUUCCUUGUCGGGUAAGUUCCGACCUGCACGAAUGGCGUAAUGAUGGCCACACUGUCUCCUCCUGAGACUCAGCGAAGUUGAAAUGUUUGUGAUGAUGCAAUCUCCCCGCGGAAAGACGGAAAGACCCCAUGAACCUUUACUGUAGCUUUGUAUUGGACUUUGAACAGAUCUGUGUAGGAUAGGUGGGAGGCUUUGAAGUGUGGUCGCUAGAUCGCAUGGAGCCAACGUUGAAAUACCACCCUGGUGUGUUUGAGGUUCUAACCUAGGUCCAUUAUCUGGAUCGGGGACAGUGCAUGGUAGGCAGUUUGACUGGGGCGGUCUCCUCCCAAAGUGUAACGGAGGAGUUCGAAGGUACGCUAGGUACGGUCGGACAUCGUGCUAAUAGUGCAAUGGCAUAAGCGUGCUUAACUGCGAGACUGACAAGUCGAGCAGAUGCGAAAGCAGGACAUAGUGAUCCGGUGGUUCUGUAUGGAAGGGCCAUCGCUCAACGGAUAAAAGGUACUCUGGGGAUAACAGGCUGAUACCGCCCAAGAGUUCAUAUCGACGGCGGUGUUUGGCACCUCGAUGUCGGCUCAUCUCAUCCUGGGGCUGUAGCCGGUCCAAGGGUAUGGCUGUUCGCCAUUUAAAGAGGUACGUGAGCUGGGUUUAAAACGUCGUGAGACAGUUUGGUCCCUAUCUUCCGUGGGCGCUGCAGAUUUGAGGAAGCCUGCUCCUAGUACGAGAGGACCGGAGUGGACGAACCUCUGGUGUAUCGGUUGUCACGCCAGUGGCAUUGCCGAGUAGCUAAGUUCGGAAGAGAUAACCGCUGAAAGCAUCUAAGCGGGAAACUCGUUUCAAGAUUAGAUCUGCCGGGGCCUUGAGCCCCCUAAAGAGUCGUUCAAGACCAGGACGUUGAUAGGUCAGGUGUGGAAGCCA
rnacentral:rRNA from 1 species